GCAGACACAUAGCUGAAGCGGAUUGACAUCUUGGUGAAGCGAGGCUGACGUGGUAACGUGAAAAUAAGCGGGACAGUCUCAAAUCUGCCCCAAUGGCUCUCUAUUAGAGCGUACUGCAGCUCCCCUUUUCACCACAGAAUUGUGGGGCACUGUUGUGCUCGGGAGGGCUCAGGCAUCGUCUGUCCCACUCAUAGCCCGCGUCCCAAUGUGCAUACUAUCCAUCCUAAAUUCUAUGUGACAUUAGUAAUUUUCAAUACUAUUUAGGGCAGGUAGGGUGGAUAGUAUGCACGUUGGGACGCAGGAAUAGACUGUAAAAAACUUAGUAUCAUGUAUACAUGCCUGCUAAAGCCAUGCGCGGGAUUUUAAUAUAUACUGCUUACUUUACUUAAAAUAGUCUAGAAAAUAUUUGUUGCAGAAUGCUGAACACAUUUACAAUUUAUUAUUGAUUCAGUUUAUAUAGAGGUCUAUGUUUUGAAUGAAUAUUUUGGUGGGGCUCUGCCCCAUCUGCCCAUAUAGACGAGCAGCGCCUGGAUUGAGGUGUUUUGUUGUUGGAUGUAAUAAUGAAUAUAGCAGUCCUCAUUAACUCCCGACAUCUGAGCCGCUGAAGACGCAGAGGAUUAACAUUACUUUCCUUUUGAAGGGAAUGUGCUGAUCCUGAUCUACAUAAAUGUGUCUAUGUUCGAGAGAAUCAUUCGUGAUCCAGCUUCAUCUACAGAAGAAGUUAUGGAGAUGAGGACUUCUGAUGCUCCUAUGCCCAGAGUGACAUAACGGAUCUUGUCCUCUGGAAUACCCGCUUCCAAAAAGAUGUCAAAAGAGAAGACGGUGAUCUGUGAGCAAGAAGGGUGUUUGUUUCUCAGCAGAUCCAGCACACUCUUGUUGUGCUCCUCUCCAAUGACUGCCUGUUCUGCUAACAUCUCCUCUAUCUCCAACUUAUAAUCGCCUGGUCCCCACAGACACUGCAGUGCUGCCGA